CUUGUCUGCCUGCCCUAUCAUUCAUCUUCAAUUUAUAUCUCCCUAUAUUUUAGGUAUGUAGCUUAUGUACCAAUGAAUGCGUUCUCUGUAGACCUAUGUAUUGGGGUGUCACCAUAUAAAUAUACACAUGCAUACUGACUGACUAACUCCCAAUAUAUAAUAUUUGUGAAUGUUGUUGUGUUUGAAGCUUUUUAUUUCUGUUUCUUUUGUAGAAACAGGUAUGGAUUUGUGUCUAUCCCUGAGUGAGCGUAGGUGAUUAAUUAGUGGUUGAGUCAUAUUGAUUGAGUCAUCUAGGAGUAUCCCGAAAUCCUGGCCCGUCAGUGCCCUUUUAGGAAUGGGUUGGAAACUCUGCUGGAAGACCAUGUGUAAAGUGUUUAUGAUUCAAUGAAUUGAAGCAACAAUGCAGUCAGUUGAUAAAGUCGAUUUGCAUGGAAAUGUAGUGAGUGUGGUACGUGGGCUGGACACUGCCCCUUUAACUGUCAUCAGGGAAACUCAAAGCACCAUCUUGUC